rnacentral:rRNA from 1 species
AUACGGAGGGUCCGAGCGUUAUCCGGAUUUAUUGGGUUUAAAGGGUGCGUAGGCGGUUUUAUAAGUCAGCGGUGAAAUUUUCCGGCUCAACCGGGAUACUGCCGUUGAUACUGUAAGGCUAGGAUAUGGUUGCUGUGGGUGGAAUGUGUGGUGUAGCGGUGAAAUGCUUAGAGAUCACGAAGAACUCCAAUUGCGUAGGCAGCUCACUGGGCUACAACUGACGCUGAGGCACGAAGGUGCGGGGAUC